AUCCGGUACUUGUAUAUGGAUGGAUAAUAUUAUAAAAUAUAAUAUGCGACACGAUAAUAAUGACUGGUGAUUGAAGAAAGAAUAUGGGUAGCUGGCACGACAAGAUGAGGCAGAACGAUCCGAUUCUGAGCAUGGGAAGAAAGCAAGUAGUUGAAGAAGAAGAAGAAUCUGAAUCUCCGUUGCUGGGCAAGUCAAACGCAUGGUUUAGUGGUUGUGUGUUCAAUCUGUCAACGACGAUCAUUGGCGCUGGGAUCAUGGCCUUACCUGCGGCCAUCAAAGUUGUGGGUCUGGCUGUGGGCAUUGCUGCCAUUCUCUUUCUUGCCUUUCUCACACACACCUCUUUAGAAAUUCUCCUGAGGUUUAGCAGACUUGGCAACGCUGCCACUUACGCUGACCUCAUGGGUUACGCUUUUGGAACGCUUGGCAGAUUGCUACUUCAUAUAUCCGUUCUCGUCAACAACUUUGGAAUACUUGUUGUCUACAUGAUCAUAAUCGGUGAUGUGUUAUCUGGAACAUCUUCAAGUGGGAUUCAUCAUUUUGGGGUACUUGAAGGAUGGUUUGGUCAAUGCUGGUGGACUUCCCGUAGUUUUGUUCUUCUUGUGGCAACCCUUUUUGUUUUCGCUCCAUUGGGAUUCUUUAAGAGGAUAGAUUCAUUGAGAUACACUUCUGCUUUAGCAGUGGCUCUCGCUGUUGUGUUUCUAAUCAUAACUGCUGGAAUCACAUUCAUCAAGUUGCUUAAUGGCAGUAUAGCCAGUCCCAGGUUGCUUCCUAGUAUUACUGAUAUUACAUCAGUGUUCAAUCUCUUUACGGCAGUUCCAGUCUUUGUGACGGCAUUUGUUUGUCAUUACAAUGUGCAUACAAUAAACAAUGAAUUAGGAGACUCUUCCCUGAUACAACCAGUAAUACGUGCAUCACUGGUUCUAUGUUCUAGUAUCUAUAUUCUUACAGCAUUAUUUGGAUUUCUUCUAUUUGGUGAGUCAACACUUGAUGAUGUGCUAGCCAACUUUGACACUGAUCUGGGCAUCCCUUACAGCAGUUUUCUCAAUGACAUUGUUCGUAUCAGCUAUGCCAUCCACCUCAUCCUUGUUUUCCCAGUUAUCUUCUUCUCACUGCGCUUCAAUUUGGAUGAUCUUAUCUUUCAUUCAGCUAGGUCGUUGAACUUGGAUAACUGUAGGUUUGUCUUGAUCACCACUGGACUAGUCACUUUAGUCUAUGUGGCUGCAAAUUUUAUACCUAGCAUCUGGGAUGCAUUUCAAUUCACUGGAGCAACUGCCACUGUUUGCCUUGGGUUUAUUUUCCCUGCUGCAAUUGCUCUAAGGGAUCCCCACGACAUUGCAACAAAGAAGGACAAGAUUUUAUCCGUUGUCAUGAUUUGUGUGGCUUUGUUUUCGAAUGUUGUGGCCAUUUACAGUAAUGCCGAUGCCUUGUUCAGAAAAUAGGUUGAUCCUCAUUAAUGAGUUACUCGCACCCUACAUUAGAAUUAAAGAGAAGAAAAUCCAGCAAUUGUGGAAGGAAAAUUGCAAGUACAAGUGGGACACUUACGGACAUUGGAAUCUCUUAACGCACUUAUAUAGAGUGGUGCCCAAUUAAUGCGAGUCGUGUUUGGUUUUCGACUAUUUUUUUCAGUUAUCCCUCGAAUAAUUAAAACUGUUAUCAAAGCACUGGUUGUAAAAUUAUGAGAUAUACCUUCCAUGAUCCAAAUGACCACUGUUUGGUAAUUUGUGCCAAAUUCUCUCUCAAAAACCUCCUUUCAAAAGUUUUACUGGAACCAAGACAUGAAAAGUAUCAAAUCGAAUCAUUAAUCAACUUUUGUAUCCAGUGAGGUACAAUAAGUUAAUGAUAAGUCUUACUUAAAUCCAACUUUGCAUAUUUAUGUGUAAUUGUAUGAUCGAACUUCAACAGUCUCACCUAGUGCUAGAAUCGAACUAUUGCCAAUCUCUUGUAACAUGUCUCCUAAAUUCCAACUACCACUUUAAGUGAAAAUGUAUGAAGAAACGAAAGAACAGCAUAUAUUCAUCCAUGUACAAUUUGAAACU